rnacentral:lncRNA from 1 species
GACCAGGACACAAACUCAACACUACGUACUCUGAAACUGAAAUAUGGAAAGGCUACGGCGCGGAUGGGUUGUAGGACAUGAAAACAAUGUGGCACUAGACUUAUGGGACGAACAAAAGGACACUCGAAACUAAGGGUAGAUGUGAACCUAACGGUAUGUCUGAAGCUUUGAUUACCACUUGAAGAGAACAAGUGUGGCCGGAUCUUCCGAAAGGUUCAAGUAACUAUCGAUUUGGUGGAAACGAGACACAAAUCAAUCCUUCUUGCGAACAACACGAUUCGAAACAUUGCAAUUUCUUUUUAUUUUUUUUGAUAUUUUUCUUUUACAUAGGAGCACUCAAGAAGUAACCACAGGAAAUUCGGCUUAAACAAGUGAAAGACAUGGCCUGUGGAAAUUUUUGA